GAUGAACGCUGGCGGCGUGCCUAAUACAUGCAAGUCGAGCGAACGUACGAGAAGCUUGCUUCUCUGAUGUUAGCGGCGGACGGGUGAGUAACACGUGGAUAACCUACCUAUAAGACUGGGAUAACUUCGGGAAACCGUAGCUAAUACCGGAUAAUAUUUUGAACCGCAUGGUUCAAAAGUGAAAGACGGUCUUGCUGUCACUUAUAGAUGGAUCCGCGCUGCAUUAGCUAGUUGGUAAGGUAACGGCUUACCAAGGCAACGAUGCAUAGCCGACCUGAGAGGGUGAUCGGCCACACUGGAACUGAGACACGGUCCAGACUCCUACGGGAGGCAGCAGUAGGGAAUCUUCCGCAAUGGGCGAAAGCCUGACGGAGCAACGCCGCGUGAGUGAUGAAGGUCUUCGGAUCGUAAAACUCUGUUAUUAGGGAAGAACAUAUGUGUAAGUAACUGUGCACAUCUUGACGGUACCUAAUCAGAAAGCCACGGCUAACUACGUG
rnacentral:rRNA from 1 species